AGAACGAACGCUGGCGGCAUGCCUAAUACAUGCAAGUCGAACGAACACUUCGGUGUUAGUGGCGCACGGGUGCGUAACGCGUGGGAAUCUGCCCUUGGGUUCGGAAUAACAGUUGGAAACGACUGCUAAUACCGGAUGAUAUCGAAAGAUCAAAGAUUUAUCGCCCAGGGAUGAGCCCGCGUAGGAUUAGCUAGUUGGUGAGGUAAAGGCUCACCAAGGCGACGAUCCUUAGCUGGUCUGAGAGGAUGAUCAGCCACACUGGGACUGAGACACGGCCCAGACUCCGUACGGGGAGCAGCAGGUAGGGAAUAG
rnacentral:rRNA from 1 species